AUUGAACGCUGGCGGCAUGCUUUACACAUGCAAGUCGAACGGCAGCGCGGGCUUCGGCCUGGCGGCGAGUGGCGAACGGGUGAGUAAUGCAUCGGAACGUGCCCAGUAGUGGGGGAUAGCCCGGCGAAAGCCGGAUUAAUACCGCAUACGACCUGAGGGUGAAAGCGGGGGACCGAAAGGCCUCGCGCUAUUGGAGCGGCCGAUGUCGGAUUAGCUAGUUGGUGGGGUAAAGGCUUACCAAGGCGACGAUCCGUAGCUGGUCUGAGAGGACGACCAGCCAAACUGGGACUGGGGCACGGCCCAGACUCCUAAGGGAGGCAGCAGUGGGGAAUUUUGGACAAUGGGGGCAAACCUGAUCCCGCCAUGCCGCGUGCGGGAAGAAGGCCUUCGGGUUGUAAACCGCUUUUGUUCGGGAAGAAAUCCUCUGGGCUAAUACCCCGGGGGGAUGACGGUACCGGAAGAAUAAGCACCGGCUAACUACGUG
rnacentral:rRNA from 1 species